GGUGACCAACUAUCCUGGUUUGCCUGGGACUGAGAGGUCUUCAGGGGCUAAAUCCAGGAAAGUCCCAAGCAUAUCAGG
rnacentral:miRNA from 14 species